rnacentral:rRNA from 1 species
AUUGAACGCUGGCGGCAUGCUUUACACAUGCAAGUCGGACGGCAGCACAGAGAAGCUUGCUUCUUGGGUGGCGAGUGGCGAACGGGUGAGUAACAUAUCGGAACGUACCGAGCAGUGGGGGAUAACUAAUCGAGAGAUUAGCUAAUACCGCAUAUUUUCUGAGGAAGAAAGCAGGGGACCAUUCGGCCUUGCGCUGUUUGAGCGGCCGAUAUCUGAUUAGCUAGUUGGUGGGGUAAAGGCCUACCAAGGCGACGAUCAGUAGCGGGUCUGAGAGGAUGAUCCGCCACACUGGGACUGAGACACGGCCCAGACUCCUACGGGAGGCAGCAGUGGGGAAUUUUGGACAAUGGGCGCAAGCCUGAUCCAGCCAUGCCGCGUGUCUGAAGAAGGCCUUCGGGUUGUAAAGGACUUUUGUCAGGGAAGAAAAGGGCGGGGUUAAUACCCCUGUCUGA